AUACGUAGGGGGGCUAGCGUUAUCCGGAUUUACUGGGCGUAAAGGGUGCGUAGGUGGUUUCUUAAGUCAGGAGUGAAAGGCUACGGCUCAACCGUAGUAAGCUCUUGAAACUGGGAAACUUGAGUGCAGGAGAGGAGAGUGGAAUUCCUAGUGUAGCGGUGAAAUGCGUAGAUAUUAGGAGGAACACCAGUAGCGAAGGCGGCUUUCUGGACUGUAACUGACACUGAGGCACGAAAGCGGUGGGGAGC
rnacentral:rRNA from 1 species